rnacentral:rRNA from 1 species
GCGACCCCAGGUCAGGCGGGAUCACCCGCUGAGUUUAAGCAUAUCAAUAAGCGGAGGAGAAGAAACUUACAAGGAUUCCCCUAGUAACGGCGAGCGAACCGG